rnacentral:rRNA from 1 species
AUUGAACGCUGGCGGCAUGCCUUACACAUGCAAGUCGAACGGCAGCACGGGUGCUUGCACCUGGUGGCGAGUGGCGAACGGGUGAGUAAUACAUCGGCACAUGUCCUGUAGUGGGGGAUAGCCCGGCGAAAGCCGGAUUAAUACCGCAUACGAUCCACGGCUGAAAGCGGGGGACCUUCGGGCCUCGCGCUAUAGGGUUGGCCGAUGGCUGAUUAGCUAGUUGGUGGGGUAAAGGCCUACCAAGGCGACGAUCAGUAGCUGGUCUGAGAGGACGACCAGCCACACUGGAACUGAGACACGGCCCAGACUCCUACGGGAGGCAGCAGUGGGGAAUUUUGGACAAUGGGCGAAAGCCUGAUCCAGCAAUGCCGCGUGUGUGAAGAAGGCCUUCGGGUUGUAAAGCACUUUUGUCCGGAAAGAAAUCCUUGACUCUAAUACAGUCGGGGGAUGACGGUACCGGAAGAAUAAGCACCGGCUAACUACGUG